rnacentral:rRNA from 1 species
UUCGCCCUUAGAGUUUGAUCCUGGCUCAGGACGAACGCUGGCGGCGUGCUUAACACAUGCAAGUCGAGCGGGGAUUGAAGAAGUGCUUGCACGGAUUCAAUUCUAGCGGCGGACGGGUGAGUAACGCGUGAACAAUCUGUCCCAGACAGGGGGAUAACACUUGGAAACAGGUGCUAAUACCGCAUAAGACCACAGUAUCACAUGGUACAGGGGUAAAAGAUUUAUCGGUUUGGGGUGAGUUCGCGUCCGAUUAGCUAGUUGGUGAGGUAACGGCCCACCAAGGCGACGAUCGGUAGCCGACCUGAGAGGGUGAUCGGCCACAUUGGAACUGAGACACGGUCCAGACUCCUACGGGAGGCAGCAGUGGGGAAUAUUGGGCAAUGGGCGGAAGCCUGACCCAGCAACGCCGCGUGAGGGAAGAAGGUUUUCGGAUUGUAAACCUCUGUCCUCAAGGACGAAGGAAGUGACGGUACUUGAGGAGGAAGCCCCGGCUAACUACGUGCCAGCAGCCGCGGUAAUACGUAGGGGGCGAGCGUCGUCCGGAAUGACUGGGCGUAAAGGGCGUGUAGGCGGCCGAUUAAGUCCGGAGUGAAAGUCCUGCUUUCAAGGUGGGAAUUGCUUUGGAGACUGGUUGGCUUGAGUGCGGAAGAGGUAAGUGGAAUUCCCAGUGUAGCGGUGAAAUGCGUAGAGAUUGGGAGGAACACCAGUGGCGAAGGCGACUUACUGGGCCGUAACUGACGCUGAGGCGCGAAAGCGUGGGGAGCGAACAGGAUUAGAUACCCUGGUAGUCCACGCUGUAAACGAUGAAUACUAGGUGUGGGAGGACUGACCCCUUCCGUGCCGCAGUUAACACAAUAAGUAUUCCACCUGGGGAGUACGACCGCAAGGUUGAAACUCAAAGGAAUUGACGGGGGCCCGCACAAGCAGUGGAUUAUGUGGUUUAAUUCGACGCAACGCGAAGAACCUUACCAGGAUUUGACAUCCAACUAACGAAGCAGAGAUGCAUUAGGUGCCCUUCGGGGAAAGUUGAGACAGGUGGUGCAUGGUUGUCGUCAGCUCGUGUCGUGAGAUGUUGGGUUAAGUCCCGCAACGAGCGCAACCCCUAUUGUUAGUUGCUACGCAAGAGCACUCUAGCGAGACUGCCGUUGACAAAACGGAGGAAGGCGGGGACGACGUCAAAUCAUCAUGCCCCUUAUGUCCUGGGCUACACACGUAAUACAAUGGCCGUCAACAAAGGGAAGCAAAGCCGCGAGGUGGAGCAAACCCCCAAAAACGGUCUCAGUUCGGAUUGCAGGCUGCAACUCGCCUGCAUGAAGCUGGAAUUGCUAGUAAUCGUGGAUCAGCAUGCCACGGUGAAUACGUUCCCGGGCCUUGUACACACCGCCCGUCA